AUUGAACGCUGGCGGCAUGCCUAACACAUGCAAGUCGAACGGCAGCACGGGUGCUUGUUCCUGGUGGCGAGUGGCGGACGGACGAGUAAUACAUCGGCACAAGUCCUGUAGUGGGGGGUAGCCCGCCGCAAGCCGGAUUAACACCUCAUACGAAAUACGGAUGAAAGAGGGGGACCCUCGGGCCUGGCGCUAUCGGGUUGGUUGAUGGCGGAUUAGCUAGUUGGUGGGGUAAAGGCCUACCAAGGCGACGAUCGGUAGCUGGUCUGAGAGGACGACCAGCCACACUGGGACUGAGACACGGCCCAGACUCCUACGGGAGGCAGCAGUGGGGAAUUUUGGACAAUGGGCGAAAGCCUGAUGCAGCAAUGCCGCGUGUGUGAAGAAGGCCUUCGGGUUUUAAAGUACUUUUGUCGGGAAAGAAAGCCUUGGCGCUAAUACCGUCGGGAAAUGACGGUACCGGAAGAAUAAGCACCGGCUAACUACGUG
rnacentral:rRNA from 1 species